UUUUUUUUUUUUUUUUUUUUUUCACUGAAAAGAUUAAAAUUUAUUUAACGGAUCUGAUUUAUAAAAAAAAAAAAUUAAAUCUCGAGCAGCCAAACUAAGCCUAGGACCCAUAAUUAAGUUUUGUAUCUUUUCAGGUCAAGCUGAUCAAAGCAUUGCUACUCUAUCAAGAAAACACUAUUUUCUUUCACCAUUAUUAUUGAUACAUAAUGUCAGGAAAGUCUAUUGCAAAGUUCUUCUAAGAGUUCUUCCUGCAACUAGCCCAGUAUUCAGCUACAAGCUUAGAAAAGCUAGAGUUAAUCUCCAUGAGCUUUGAAGGUUCAUCGUACUCCAACAAUUUCCCAUAAGAGAGGACCAUAACCAUGUCACUGUCUAUAACAGUUGGAACUCUGUGUGCCACUGUUAUUACCGUACAGUCUGAGAACUGUUUUCUAAUAAUUCUUUGUAGAAUGGCAUCAGUAGCAGAGUCAAUGGAUGCAGUAGCUUCAUCCAGAACUAAAAUUCUGUUUCUCUUUAGAAGAACUCUUCCUAGGCAAAAGAGUUGGCGUUGCCCAGCACUCCAGUUUUCACCUUCAUCGCUUACUGAUGAGUCCAGUUGAUUAGGUAGGCUGCUGAUUGUUGCCUUGAGCUGACACUUCUCUAAAGCCUCCCAUAUUUCAUUAUCAGAGUACAGGCCUAAAGGAUCCAAGUUAGUUCGAAUACUCCCCCUGAAAAGUGUUGGCUCCUGAGGGAUGAUGCUGAGCUUCAUCCUCAAAUCCUUGAGACCAAUGGAACAUAUGUUAAGUCCAUCUAUAAGAAUUUGGCCACUUGCAGGCUCUACUAAGCGAAACAAAGCACUGAUUAGAGUGGUUUUGCCACUUCCAGUUCUCCCUACAACUCCUACUCUAGUCCCUUCCAUGAAUAUACAGUUGAUUCCCUUAAGAACUAGUGGAGCAUUUGGACGAUAUCUUAUCUUCAACUCCUGAAGCUCUAUCCUACCCUUAAAGGGCCAGGAAGAUGGUGGCCUUUUGUCUUCCACAAUCGCCGGGGGUUCCGG
rnacentral:misc_RNA from 1 species